CGGGGGUGCGAGCGUUGUCCGGAAUCACUGGGCGUAAAGGGCGCGUAGGUGGUCUGAUAAGGGUGUGGUGAAAGCCCGGGGCUCAACCCCGGGUCGGCCGUGCCGACUGUUAGACUAGAGUGCUGUAGGGGCAGGCGGAAUUCCGGGUGUAGCGGUGGAAUGCGUAGAGAUCCGGAGGAAGACCGGUGGCGAAGGCGGCCUGCUGGGCAGUUACUGACACUGAGGCGCGACAGCGUGGGGAGCAAACAGGAUUAGAUACCCUGGUAGUCCACGCCGUAAACGAUGGGUACUAGGUGCCUGGGGGAGCGACCCCUUGGGUGCCGGCGCUAACGCAGGAAGUACCCCGCCUGGGGAGUACGGCCGCAAGGCUG
rnacentral:rRNA from 1 species